GGGCCCCCCCAGGCUGGAUGCCCUGCAGACCCUCACUCACCAGCCCCGGCGGCCCGCAGGGUGGAGGAGCGUCCGGUGGUCUUCACAGAUGUCUCCUACUUGAGCCAAAGAGAAGGCGUCUCAGCCCAAACUGCAAAGCCCAGGUGCCCCCUCCUGCCCAAGCUCCCCUCCCCCCCACAAAUGACUUCCUGAUACUAAAGGGUCCCGUCACCCUUCUGUGCAGCUGCUCCUCCUCCAGAGGGAGCCAGGUGCCCCGCCCAGGCCAGGACCCGUCCCCCUGCUAGCUCAUCCAGCUGCAAGCCAAGCCUCUGCCCAUGCUGCUCCCCAACUUACAGGGCCCUUCCUUUGCCGUCUUGUUUACUUGCUGAACUCCUACACAUCCCUCAACACCCAGCUUGCAAAUCCCUUUCUGUGUGGCUUUCCCUGAGAAGUUGCCCUCUCCAGUCCCUGUGCCUCGUCAUGUGUCAUGUGUCGUGGUCUUUGGCCGUUUCCUGUUUUGCCUCCUCAGCAGACACGGAGCUUCGAGGGGAGCUUUGGGCAGCAGGUCAGAGCCUGUGAGUGCAAAGCAGUCAGACCUUGGGGCCCCGUUUUGCCGUCUCACGGCUGUGUGACCUUGGGUGAAUUUUCUCUCUGCACCCCUGCUCGUAUGUAACGGGGGGGGUGGUGGUAAUGCCUGCCCCUCGCCCUGGCGUCGGGAGGUCCUGCAGCAUCGGCCCCAGGAGGGGAGUCCGCGGGCCCCGGGCGAGCGCUGAGGGAAGCCAGGUCGGGGUGCAGGAUCCUUGUUUAUCAGCCCUCACGCCCCAGAGGCUCCCCCCCUGCAAACAGCCCCCUCCGGGUCACUGCCUUAUCUGGAGCUGGCAGCGCACACCCAGAGGUAAGUGGCCAAGGGGGUGGGGUCUGGGGAAUCCUGUUUGUGAACCCUCACCCCGAAGCCGUCUGGUGGUGCGUGUGUGCUUCCUCCGCUCGCUCUACGCCGGCUGUGGCCCACUGCCCGCUGUCCUUGCCUGGGGGCGGGCAUGUCCCCUGCCCGCGCAGCGCUGGGAUGAGACGGGCCGAGUGUGACUCACGUUGGUGACACGGACAGCCCUGGCCCGGCAGCACGGACAGGACAUGGCACAUCCGUUUCUUGGGGAGACUCCUUUGCUCCAGCCUGUGGGUUGUAGAUGAGGCUUCCCCGGGACAUCAGGUGCCCACAUCUGUACACAGGGUCCCGUGUGGACAGCAGGAGCCCUGGUGCCAGCGUCCACGGUCCCUGCACUCUGCGGGCGGCUCAGCGGCCACCUGGAGCUCAGCUGCACCUGCUUUAGGGGAGCUACCACAGUAACCCAGAGGCUCGGAGCGGGGGACAAACCGACCUCGCCAGG
rnacentral:lncRNA from 1 species